rnacentral:rRNA from 1 species
AAUAGAUACCCAGGUAGUCCACGCCGUAAACGAUGAGUGCUAAGUGUUAGAGGGCUUCCACCCUUUAGUGCUGCAGCUAACGCAUUAAGCACUCCGCCUGGGGAGUACGGCCGCAAGGCUGAAACUCAAAGGAAUUGACGGGGGCCCGCACAAGCGGUGGAGCAUGUGGUUUAAUUCGAAGCAACGCGAAGAACCUUACCAGGUCUUGACAUCCUUCGCUACCUCUAGAGAUAGAGGGUUCCCCUUCGGGGGACGGAGUGACAGGUGGUGCAUGGUUGUCGUCAGCUCGUGUCGUGAGAUGUUGGGUUAAGUCCCGCAACGAGCGCAACCCUUGACCUUAGUUGCCAGCAUUCAGUUGGGCACUCUAAGGUGACUGCCGGUGACAAACCGGAGGAAGGUGGGGAUGACGUCAAAUCAUCAUGCCCCUUAUGACCUGGGCUACACACGUGCUACAAUGGAUGGUACAAAGGGUCGCGAAACCGCGAGGUGGAGCCAAUCCCAAAAAACCAUUCUCAGUUCGGAUUGCAGGCUGCAACUCG